AGUUGAUCGUCUUCAGGUUGUCUGUGUUCGUGCGUAUCAAUAUUCCCUGACCAGUUAAUGGCCUUCCAUAUGAACUUAGCAUCAUUUGUUUCUAAUAUCCUUCUCCAGCGCGGCAACGUUCUGUCCCACGUUUCUUCCUGCUGGUCGAGACGUCCACAUCUGUUCCUACGAGCAGCUUCAUGAAUAAUUUCACUGUUCGAUCUGAAGGCUUCAGACCACCUGGAGGGGGUGAGGGUCCACUGUGAGCUGGGGAGGGGGCACUGGUACAGAGGAGGUACAGAAAUGCAUCACCACAGUUUUGCUGUGGUUGAUGGUCAUCCUGCUCUCCUCCGUCCACGUCUGCAGUCGCUCCAUAAUUGCUUGCAGUGGCGAGUAGUCCGGGUUCUUGGUGGACACUGGGACGCCCACGGUACAAUGAAGACUAUCAGUGGAUGUGAGUAAUGCAAGACUUGCUCAGCGUGGAAAGAACAAGAAAUCCUCCACAGAUGCCCCAAGCCAUUCUUCUACCUCCUCCCUCUCCUCUACCUCAUCUGCGUCUUCCCUUAACUCCACUUGCACACCAAGCAAGUCAGACCGCUGCAGUUCCUCAUUAGGUGCAACUCCAAAGAAAGAAGAAAGCAUAUUUGACUUCGGAGAAGCAAAAGUGAAAGCAUAUCUUUGAAGCAUAGAUUCUCCCUCUGAGACAUCUUUCCCAGUAACUCCAAGCAUGGUUUUGACAUUACCAAGCCAACAAUCAUAAUCCACAGCAGGCAGUGGUCAUGGAUCUUUUGACUUCCCCAAAGAAAAUAGGACUGGUGAAACUGUACCUAAACCUAAGAGUAAUGCUAGUGUGCCUCCAGAGGAAAGUUCUUGAAGUGCUUCUAAGGUGUCUUACAACAAAGAACAGUGCCUUGCAUUUAAGAAACAAGAUGGUUGUGAUAUGGAACAGAAUGUAUUACAUUCUAAAUGCUCUGGGAGCUUACAGAAAUUCUUCCCUAGUGACUUUACUGGACCACAAACACGUUCACGGAAAAGAAAGUUGGAGGAAAUGAGUGAGGGUGAUGUAACCAUAGUCAAACACAUGUUCAAAGGUAGAAACACUAGAAGUAAAAGAUUUGAUACUAUUGUGAUUGAUGAUUGACGAGUGAGAAACUUCUAGGCAUUACAAAAAAAAAAUUUCCAGAUUAGCUUUAGAAUUUUAUCAAUAUCUCUUACUAUUUAAAGAUCAGAGAAAAGUUUAUUAUAUACAAGAAUACUAUAUUAUGUAACUGACCUGAUGUAUUAUAUUGUGCAAUCCAAAAAUACCAAAAUAAAAUGCACUUUACAGUAAA